rnacentral:rRNA from 1 species
CCUACGGGAUGCAGCAGUGAGGAAUAUUGGUCAAUGGACGAGAGUCUGAACCAGCCAAGCAGCGUGAAGGAUGACUGCCCUAUGGGUUUUAACCUUCUUUUAUAUGGGAGUAAAACAGGGUAUGCAUACCCUAUUGUAUGUACCAUACUAAUAAGGAUCGGCUAACUCAGUGCCAGCAGCCGCGGUAAUACGGAGGAUCCGAGAGUUAUCAGGGUUUGUUGGGUUUAAAGGGAGCGUAGGUGGAUUGUUAAGUCAGUUGUGAAAGCUUGCGGCUCAACCGUAGAAUUGCAGUUGAAACUGGUAGUCUUGAGUACAGUAGAGGUCGGCGGAAUUCGUGGUGUAGCGGUGAAAUGCUUAGAUAUCACGAAGAACUCCGAUGGCGAAGGCAGCUGACUGGACUGCAACUGACACUGAGGCUCGAAAGUGUGGGUAUCAAACAGGAUUAGAUACCCCAGUAGUC